UGCCAGCAGCCGCGGUAAUACGGAGGGGGUUAGCGUUGUUCGGAAUUACUGGGCGUAAAGCGUACGUAGGCGGAUUAAUAAGUUAGAGGUGAAAUCCCAGGGCUCAACCCUGGAACUGCCUCCAAAACUAUCAGUCUAGAGUUCGAGAGAGGUGAGUGGAAUUCCAAGUGUAGAGGUGAAAUUCGUAGAUAUUUGGAGGAACACCAGUGGCGAAGGCGGCUCACUGGCUCGAUACUGACGCUGAGGUGCGAAAGUGUGGGGAGCAAACAGGAUUAGAUA
rnacentral:rRNA from 1 species